AGGCUUACCAAGGCGAUGAUGCAUAGCCGAGUUGAGAGACUGAUCGGGCCACAUUGGGACUGAGACACGGGCCCAAACUCCUACGGGAGGCAGCAGUAGGGGAAUCUUCCACAAUGGACGAAAAGUCUGAUGGAGCAAACGCCGCGUGAGUGAAGAAGGUUUUCGGAUCGUAAAAAGCUCUGUUGUUGGUGAAGAAGGAUAGAGGUAGUAACUGGCCCUUUAUUUGACGGUAAUCAACCCAGAAAGUCACGGGCUAACUACGUGCCCAGCAGCCGCGGUAAAU
rnacentral:rRNA from 1 species